rnacentral:rRNA from 1 species
AGUGAACGCUGGCGGUAGGCCUAACACAUGCAAGUCGAACGGCAGCACAGGAGAGCUUGCUCUCUGGGUGGCGAGUGGCGGACGGGUGAGGAAUACAUCGGAAUCUACUUUUUCGUAGGGGAUAACGUAGGGGAACUUACGCUAAUACCGCAUACGACCUACGGGUGAAAGCAGGGGACCUUCGGGCCUUGCGCGAUUGAAUGAGCCGAUGUCGGAUUAGCUAGUUGGCGGGGUAAAGGCCCACCAAGGCGACGAUCCGUAGCUGGUCUGAGAGGAUGAUCAGCCACACUGGAACUGAGACACGGUCCAGACUCCUACGGGAGGCAGCAGUGGGGAAUAUUGGACAAUGGGCGCAAGCCUGAUCCAGCCAUACCGCGUGGGUGAAGAAGGCCUUCGGGUUGUAAAGCCCUUUUGUUGGGAAAGAAAUCCAGCUGGCUAAUACCCGGUUGGGAUGACGGUACCCAAAGAAUAAGCACCGGCUAACUUCGUGCCAGCCGCCGCGGUAA